rnacentral:rRNA from 1 species
GAGUUUGAUCCUGGCUCAGAACGAACGCUGGCGGCGUGCUUAACACAUGCAAGGCGAACGCGAACGUUUUCUUCGGAAAACUAGUAGAGUGGCGCACGGGUGAGUAACGCGUAAGUAACCUACCCUCGCAUCUGGGAUAACCCACCGAAAGGUGUGCUAAUACCUGAUACGUCUGGAAUUAUACUUUGAAUUCAGAGAAAGGUGAGCGUUGUUCGGAAUUACUGGGCGUAAAGCGCGCGUAGGCGGCUAUAUAAGUCAGAUGUGAAAGCCCGCGGCUCAACCGUGGAAGUGCAUUUGAAACUGUGUAGCUUGAGUACUGGAGGGGGUAGUGGAAUUCCCGGUGUAGAGGUGAAAUUCGUAGAUAUCGGGAGGAAUACCGGCGGCGAAGGCGACUACCUGGCCAGAUACUGACCCUGAGGUGCCAAAGCGUGGGGAGCAAACAGGAUUAGAUACCCUGGUAGUC